UUGGCGAGUUCCUUUAGCUGCUGUGGCUGCUUCUUUCUAUCUUCUCACCCUCUCUCUGGAAGCAGUUUUUUUGCGGAGUGGGGUGACUGGAUCCGUGCGGGCUAAGGGGGAAGGGAGAGCAUGACGUAUGGGACAGAAAUGAAGCCAAGUCUGUUGGAAGAAGCCUAAGGAAGCGUCCUGGCCCCAGUCUCUCUAACCCUCAUCACCUUUGGAAGGCCAAACGCUGGACCUCUCUGGCGUCCUGGUGGUAGUCUGGAAUGCUUGUGAUGUCCAGGAAAUGAAAGCGAUGUACACUUCGGUUCUUGUUGUGUGAGUUUGCUCUGACUUCCCUUCCCCCAACCCCCAGGAAUUCAAUGCUGUAUGGGAUACUCCCAUCCUGACCUGCCUAAGAAAGGAUUGCCAUGCACAAGGAAGAGAAAAGAAAGAAAAGAAAAAUAGCUACCUUGUUGAGAUUCUUUUUCUCCCAUUUGACUGGUUGGCUUCAAGAUGGGCAGAGGAGAGA